UGAAGAUCUUGGAACCAAAUGGCU
rnacentral:siRNA from 1 species